rnacentral:rRNA from 1 species
GAUGAACGCUGGCGGCGUGCCUAAUACAUGCAAGUCGAGCGAACGGACGAGAAGCUUGCUUUUCUGAUGUUAGCGGCGGACGGGUGAGUAACACGUGGAUAACCUACCUAUAAGACUGGGAUAACUUCGGGAAACCGGAGCUAAUACCGGAUAAUAUUUUGAACCGCAUGGUUCAAAAGUGAAAGACGGUCUUGCUGUCACUUAUAGAUGGAUCCGCGCUGCAUUAGCUAGUUGGUAAGGUAACGGCUUACCAAGGCAACGAUGCAUAGCCGACCUGAGAGGGUGAUCGGCCACACUGGAACUGAGACACGGUCCAGACUCCUACGGGAGGCAGCAGUAGGGAAUCUUCCGCAAAGGGCGAAAGCCUGACGGAGCAACGCCGCGUGAGUGAUGAAGGUCUUCGGAUCGUAAAACUCUGUUAUUAGGGAAGAACAUAUGUGUAAGUAACUUUGCACAUCUUGACGGUACCUAAUCAGAAAGCCAAGGCUAACUACGUG